rnacentral:rRNA from 1 species
UACGGAGGGUGCGAGCGUUGUCCGGAAUCAUUGGGCGUAAAGGGCGCGUAGGUGGCCCGGUCAGUUCGUGGUGAAAGCGCGGGGCUCAACCCUGCGUCGGCCAUGAAUACUGCCGCGGCUGGAGCACUGUAGAGGCAGGCGGAAUUCCGGGUGUAGCGGUGGAAUGCGUAGAGAUCCGGAAGAACACCGGUGGCGAAGGCGGCCUGCUGGGCAGUUGCUGACACUGAGGCGCGACAGCGUGGGGAGCAACAGG